AACGAACGCUGGCGGCAUGCCUAACGCAUGCGAGUCGAACGAGAUCUUCGGGUCUAGUGGCGCACGGGUGCGUAACGCGUGGGAAUCUGCCCUUUGGUUCGGAAUAACAGUUGGAAACGACUGCUAAUACCGGAUGAUGACGAAAGUCCAAAGAUUUAUCGCCAGAGGAUGAGCCCGCGUGGGAUUAGCUAGUUGGUGUGGUAAGGGCGCACCAAGGCGACGAUCCUUAGCUGGUCUGAGAGGAUGAUCAGCCACACUGGGACUGAGACACGGCCCAGACUCCUACGGGAGGCAGCAGUGGGGAAUAUUGGACAAUGGGCGAAAGCCUGAUCCAGCAAUGCCGCGUGAGUGAUGAAGGCCUUAGGGUUGUAAAGCUCUUUUACCCGGGAUGAUAAUGACAGUACCGGGAGAAUAAGCUCCGGCUAACUCCGUGCCAGCCGCCGCCGUAA
rnacentral:rRNA from 1 species